UACGAAGGGGGCUAGCGUUGCUCGGAAUCACUGGGCGUAAAGCGCACGUAGGCGGAUUGUUAAGUCAGGGGUGAAAUCCUGGAGCUCAACUCCAGAACUGCCUUUGAUACUGGAGAGCUUGAGUCCGGAAGAGGUGAGUGGAACUCCGAGUGUAGAGGUGAAAUGCGUAGAUAUCUGGAGGAACACCGGUGGCGAAGGCGACAUCCUGGACCGGUAUUGACGCUGAGGCGCGAAAGCCAGGGGAGCAAAGCGGG
rnacentral:rRNA from 1 species